rnacentral:lncRNA from 1 species
CUGGAAACGAGAGGAGACCAAGAGCGCCGCUAGAUCCACAUACUGCUUUUUUUUGUUUUUCUGGUGAAAAGUUUGAAAUAACAACGUUAAGAGAAAAAAGGCAGAGGGUUUUCUUCAGGUGGAUGGCGCAUGCUUUUGUCUUUUGACAGCAAACAUCUCAUUUCACCAACUUGCUCAUGUUCUUCAUCCUUUGGCACUCAUUAUCUUCCUCAAACUCAUAUUUUUUCAUACUAAACAACACACCAUAACUAACAAGACUACUUCCAUUUUCAUACAAAAAACCUCUUACCCACUUAAACCAUUCACUUCUACACAAAUCAAACAUCAGAAAAACACCAUUCACUAUUGUUUUCUCCCCUAGUUCACCACCGUGAAGUCACCGCGGAAUCACCAUUGUUCCUCUCUCCGACGCACUUUUCUGGCGAGACAGAACGAAAACACCAACAAGCUCAACUUAUUCUUGGAACAACUCAUAUUCUUUAUCAGCGCGAGGAAAUCAUGCUACACUGAAAUCAAUAUCUAUCAUCAAGGUUCAAGUGGUUUUCUAUUUGAUUAUAUCUGUUUUUUUUUCUUCGCUCUUUUGAUCUUGUUUGGUUUGUAUGUGCUCUAGUCUAAGUUGCACCUCUCUUCAUGGUUCAAGUGUGUUUGUUGCGGUUCUGAUUUCCAAAUGUUUUGAUUCCGAUUUUAUUAAUUUUCGAGAUUGGUUGCUGCUAUUAAUUGUUUGCAUGGUUAAGUUGAUGUAUUGACGCAUAUUGUGAUUAUCAGCUGAUAUUCCAUCAUGUUGUUGAAUGCCGAUUUCAGAAUUGUUUGGAACUUGUUGUUCUAUGUAUCAUGAUACCAACUUGUUUUCUUCUUUUAUCUCAACUCUUAACAGGGCCAUGGUUAUUAUUCAUUAGUAUAAGAUUUAUUUUUGUUUCCUUUUAAAAAAAAGGUUUGGUUUAGUUUUGAUAUUAGGAUUCAACUUGCUUUAGAUAGAAUAAUGUUGUAGUUAGUUAUGUUGAUGUUACUACACCGUUUUUACAGAAAAAAAGGAAUGAGAAGAAAGUGGUUUUCAGUAAAUAAUUUUAGUUCACUAAAAAGGGGUAGUUAAAUCUCAUUGUUUCUUGUUAAUUUGAAUUUUAUGGAAGUAUGCAUAGUUAUUCAAAAAAUACAUUGCCAUUUUCGUUUUACUUUACUGUAUAGAGGGGUUGUUGUUGUUAGUUUGUUUUUUUCUCUCACAUAUGAUAAGACACAUGUCCAUGGCCUAUUGGUUGUGCCUAGCUUUUGAAAAAAUGAAUGUUAAGUAAAAAGAGGCCACAAAUGCGCCAUCUUUUCUUUCUAACAGCAAGUUUUUCUUUUUUUAUUGAUUUAUUAUAUAUUAUUAUUAGAAUUUGAGUUUAGAUUAUGUUUUUGGUUUCAUUAUGUAUAUUUAGGCCCACUUUCACUUAUGGACUUUUGUUUUUUACUAAUUGCACUCCUCUUGCUUUGAAAUAAAUUUAUGAGUAUUGUAAUAAAUUGGUGUAGCUACUACUCUAUUCCUUUGAUUUAAUUGGGUUUCUAAUCCGUGGACUCGGUAAUUUCAUGUCGUUAUGCCGCUAAAUCUCAAUACAUUGAUAGACAUUUUCGCCGCGUUAUGACCCUUGCAUACGACAUUUCAUUCAUUGUCGAUACGCGCAAACCGGCUUUGAGCACAUUAUCUAGGUUAUGUUUAUUCCUCAAUUUCCAUUUGUCAUUGUACGUCCUUGCGUUAAGUGACUUUGAUUCGCAUCCUCGCAUCCCGAUUUUAAUCCGUGCACGUCCCAAUUUUACUUCUUUCAAUUUAAUUUUUAAAUGUCUUGUAAAUAUAACUUGUUGUACUGUUUAUUUUCUUCACAUGACUUACUCUUGGGCCUUCUUACAAUGAGACGGUUUCCUUGCACCUACAUUCAUACAUUGCAUUGCUUGUUGGUUAGGCCCGAUUUAAUUAUUUCAUCAUUUUAAAUCCCAUUCGACAAAAUGUACCCCCACUCCCAUGAUGUGUAAUAAUUUUACUGCUUUAUUUAUUUAUUUGCUUGACUGUUUCGCUAGCUACUAACACAAGUAUAAAAUCAACCAUUUCCAAAAGAUCAAAAAUUAAAACUGGAUCCAACGUCGAGUAUUUUAACCAAUAAAUGAAUCCCUCCAUUUCUAUCAAUCCAUUUCUUCCUUUUCUUCCAAACCACUUCAUUCAAGUUCUAUCUCAACCUUCAUUAAAUGCUUGAUCCAACGUCAAGCCAUUUUCAUAAUAAAAACUAAAAAACUUAAUUCAUAUUUAAAGACC